rnacentral:rRNA from 1 species
UAGGGAAUCUUCCGCAAUGGACGAAAGUCUGACGGAGCAACGCCGCGUGAGUGAAGAAGGAUUUCGGUUCGUAAAACUCUGUUGUUAGGGAAGAAAAAAUGUAUAGUAACUAUAUACAAAAGAGACGGUACCUAACCAGAAAGCCACGGUUAACUACGUGCCAGCAGCCGCGGUAAUACGUAGGUGGCAAGCGUUGUCCGGAAUUAUUGGGCGUAAAGCGCGCGCAGGUGGUUUAGAAAGUCUGAUGUGAAAGCCCACGGCUCAACCGUGGAGGGUCAUUGGAAACUAAUAAACUUGAGUGCAGGAGAGAAAAGUGGAAUUCCUAGUGUAGCGGUGAAAUGCGUAGAGAUUAGGAGGAACGCCGGUGGCGAAAGCGGCUUUAUGGCCUGCAACUGACACUGAGGCGCGAAAGCGUGAGGAGCAAACAGG